rnacentral:rRNA from 1 species
AGGAAGCACCGGCUAACUCCGUGCCAGCAGCCGCGGUAAUACGGGGGGUGCAAGCGUUGUUCGGAAUUAUUGGGCGUAAAGCGCGUGUAGGCGGUUUGAUUAGUCUGAUGUGAAAGCCCUGGGCUCAACCCAGGAAGCGCAUUGGAAACUGCCAGACUUGAAUACGGGAGAGGGUAGUGGAAUUCCUAGUGUAGGAGUGAAAUCCGUAGAUAUUAGGAGGAACACCGGUGGCGAAGGCGGCUGCCUGGACCGAUAUUGACGCUGAGACGCGAAAGCGUGGGUAGCAAACAGGAUUAGAUACCCUGGUAGUCCACGCCGUAAACGAUGAGUACUAGGUGUCGCGGGUAAAUCG